UACAGCACUAACAUGCGCAUAUUAUCGUUGUAGCCAACUGCCAACGCUCUUCCACUAGCUCAACCUCAUCCUCCACUCCAAGGCUCAAAAUGGAAAGCCAAGCCCUUGCCCUUGCUAAACUACGCUCAUCCAGUACCCGUUUGAAGAAAUUACCCAGAGACGAUCUGCACGCACCAAACCCACUGAGUUCCUCUAUUCAAUUGUCAAAACGGAGCCCUAAAUCUAUCUCAGACGGGCUCCAGAAGGACACCAAAAAGGACCUGUCUCUGAUUCUGCGAACGGACGCUGCUGUAGAAGGCAUUGCGAGGAAAGCGAACUCGAGAAAGUAUAAACAGCUGUGGCCUAAAGCUGUUUUGGAGGCCCUGGACGAGGCUAUCAGAGAGAAUCAAUGGGAGAGUGCUCUCAAGAUUUUUGGAUUGCUUCGUCAGCAACGUUGGUACGAGGCAAGAUGCCAAACAUACACAAAGUUGUUAAUGAUGCUUGGCAAGUGCAGUCAACCUGCGCAGGCCGGCUUGCUUUUUGAGAUCAUGUUAUCUGAAGGGCUUAGACCUACUCUUGAUGUCUAUACUGCUCUUGUAAGUUCUUAUGGGCAAUGUGGCCUUCUUGACAAGGCUUUAUCAACUCUUGAGGAUAUGAAAUCAAUCUCUGACUGCAAACCAGAUAUAUACACGUAUUCUAUUCUUAUUAGCUGUUGCACUAAGUUUCAUCGUUUUGAUCUGAUUGGACGGAUUCGUGCUGAGAUGUCAUAUCUGGGGAUUGAAUGCAGCACUGUCACAUACAAUACUAUUAUCAACGGAUACGGUAAGGGGGAAAUGUUUGAACUAAUGGAGGAUACACUGACGGAAAUGAUUGAAAGUGAAAGCUGCCUUCCUGAUAUUUUCACGUUAAAUACUUUUGUCAGGGCUUAUGGGAAAUUAGGGCAGAUUGAGAAAAUGGAGGAGUGGUAUAAUGAAUUCCAGUUAAUGGGAAUACAGCCAGACAUGAAGACAUUCAAUAUCCUGAUCAAAUCGUAUGGAAAAGCAGGCAUGUAUGAGAAGAUGAGGUCAGUUAUGUAUUAUAUGGAGAAAAGAUUUUUCUCUCCAACAAUUGUUACUUUUAAUACAGUCAUCGAGGUGUUUGGAAAAGCUGGAAAUAUUGAAAAGAUGGAUACAUACUUCAAGAAAAUGAAGCAUCAAGGAAUCAAGCCGAAUGCUAUUACCUACUGCUCUCUUGUUAGUGCUUACAGUAAAGCUGGACAUAUGGUAAAAGUUGAUUCGAUUUUGAGGCAAGUAGAGAAUUCGGAUGUAAAACUAGAUACUCCUUUUUAUAACUGCAUUAUCAGUGCAUAUGGUCAGACUGGUGAUGUGGAAAGGAUGGGUGAGUUAUUCUUGAAAAUGAAAGAUAGAGGAUGCAAACCCGAUAAUGUCACCUUUGCUACCAUGAUCCAAGCCUACAAUGCACAAGGCAUGAAUGAGGCUGCUGAAAAAUUGGAGAGAAAGAGGAUUGCAGUUGAAGAGAAAUUUGGCAUGAAUUUGAUUGGAUGGUAGCAUGAUUUAUUGUUUUGGACAGCAACUCUCACAAAUGCUCAAUGUUGGUCAGAUCUCGGGAAUGGUAAUUGCUUCCUUGUAACCACCGUUAUAGCAGGUCUUAUUGUAAGCUUCUAGAUUUACUUCCCUCUGUUUUUGGUUAUCUUGUACGUUACACAUAUUUGCAUGCUACUGUAUAUAGUGCCUUAAAGCAAAAUACUUCUGGUAAUUGAAGGAUGUAUGCAUCAAAUGGUCCAACAUGGCCCAAAGGACUGGCCAUUUUUUACAAGCGGGGGUGUCCAAGGUGACCUAAUGUUAGAAGCAGGGACAAGUGGACAAUCCCCACCCCUCCUCCCCAGCAGGGACCCCCCCCCCCCCCCCCCCCCCCACAAAAAAAAAAAAAAGAUUUGAAUAUGACAAAGUUGUCGUUUACAGAUACUAUUGUUUUCACCUCUUCACUCCCUCAUAUUUUGAGACAUAUUGGCACAUGAGAAUGCAUCACUAUAGGUUAAUGGUGAAAGGUAAAAAGGACAGUGAACACAUGGUGGAAAUUUCAUGGGGUCCCCAGAGGCAUAGAAGUGAAUGCAUAUGUGAGGAGGAAUGGUUGCAUCCACUGCAAGAAGGGAAAAGAAUAAAAUUGCUAGAGACAAUUUGCUGCAGAAAUCAAGGACAAAUGAUUGCACCAGUGAGAAAGAUGAUUUGAAAGGCCAUUCAGGUCGGUGCCAUGAGACCCAUAAUUGAACAGAAAUCAAACCUUAGUGACUACAAAACUUUUGUCUUGCAAACCCAGAUGAUAGGAGUUAUUUAUUUAUUUUUUAAUUAUUAUAAUUAUUAUAAUAGGUUUUUGCACAGUUUAUUACCCCAAAAAUAAAGAUCAGCCCCAAUUAAUUAUUAUAUUAUUUGGUGCUGUGCAAGUUGUACGUACUACUUUCCUCAAGAAGUACUUUCAGUUCAACAAAUUAUCUCUAUA